rnacentral:rRNA from 1 species
AUUUAACGCUGGCGGCAGGCCUAACACAUGCAAGUCGAACGAGUGGCGGACGGGUGAGUAAUGUCUGGGAAACUGCCUGAUGGAGGGGGAUAACUACUGGAAACGGUAGCUAAUCCCGACUACCAUCAGAUGUGCCCAGAUGGGAUUAGCUCGUAGGUGGGGUAAUGGCUAACCUAGGCGACGAUCCCUAGCUGUGCUGAGAGGAUGACCAGCCACACUGGAACUGAGACACGGUCCAGACUCCGACGGGAGGCAGCAGUGGGGAAUAUUGCACAAUGGGCGCAAGCCUGAUGCAGCCAUGCCGCGUGUGUGAAGAAGGCCUGCGGGUUGUAAAGCACUUUCAGCGAGGAGGCGUUACUCGCAGAAGAAGCACCGGCUAACUCCGUGCCAGCAGCCGCGGUAAUUC